rnacentral:rRNA from 1 species
GACGAACGCUGGCGGCGUGGGAUUAGGCAUGCAAGUCGAACGGUAUCAUCCUUUCGGGGGUGAGAGAGUGGCGAACUGGUGAGUAACACGUAGGUUAUCUACCCUCAAGACGGGGGACAACCCAGGGAAACUUGGGCUAAUACCGGAUGUGAGCAACUUUUAGUUGUUUGAAAGGUGGCGUAAGCUGUCGCUUGGGGAUGAGCCUGCGUCCUAUUAGUUAGUUGGUGAGGUAACGGCUCACCUAGGCAAUGAUAGGUAGGCGGCCUUAACGGGUGGUCGCCCACACUGGGAUUGAGAUACGGCCCAGACUCCUACGGGAGGCAGCAGUCGAGAAUAGUCUACAAUGGUCGGAAGACUGAUAGUGCGACGCCGCGUGAACGAUGAAUCCCUUCGGGUGUAAGGGGUUCUUUUAUAUGUGAGCAGUGCUUCUUAUAUUAACAGUAUGGGAGAGAGAUAUUAGCAUAUGAAUAAGCAACGGCUAACUCCGUGCCAGCAGCCGCGGUAACG